rnacentral:rRNA from 1 species
CAAUAGCGUAUAUUAAAGUUGUUGCAGUUAAAAAGCUCGUAGUUGGAUUUCUGGUAGGAGUGACCGUUCCGAACUUGAUUGUUCGUGUAUUGUGUUUUCUCCAGCCAUCCUUGUGGAGAACUUUUCUUGCAUUAAUUUGUAGGGAUUGGGACCCGCAUCGUUUACUGUGAAAAAAUUAGAGUGUUUAAAGCAGGCAAUCGCUUGAAUACAUUAGCAUGGAAUAAUAAGAUAGGACUUUGGUAAUAUUUUGUUGGUUUGCAUACCAAAUUAAUGAUCAACAGGAACAGUUUGAGGAUAUUCGUAUGAACAUGUCAGAGGUGAAAUUCUUGGAUUUUGAUCAGACGAACUACUGCGAAAGCAUUUAUCAAGGAUGUUUUCAUUAA